CAGGAAACUAAGUGAGCAUAGCUAACGAUGACGACAUAAUUGACGCGUCAUUAAACUAGUUAAAAAAACUCGAGUUCGUCAAAGCCAAUCAGAUCUCUGUUAGUUGGCCGAGAGGCGGGACACACGACUGAGAUCCAAUCACAUCGACGUUUAUCCGGACGUAGGCUAAACCCGGAUGCUAGGUUGAAGCCAGUAGCGGGAACACUCCGACGGAAAUGUUUGGAUUUAAUUUAAAUUCGUAAAUAGUUUUUGAACAGUUCGUGGAAAAUUACUGUACACCGCGUGGAACGACCGUGAAAAUCAUUUGAAGAGUUGUCGUCGUGAAACUCAACGCUAAGCAGGGGGCGGGACCCGCAGCUCCAUGGAUGCCAGGUGCUGACGUUGAAGAAGAAGAGUGGAGAAGGAGAAGGAGAAGUUUGGAUCAUCUCACUCUGUUGUAAGUCACACAUCUUAAAGCGAUCAAUAACAGUCACAGCAGGAGGUCACACUGGUUUACAGUGAUCCACAGACACGUGUCACAUGGUACGUUUUUAAUUUUUUAAUCCAGUCAGUCAUUGGUAGAUUAAACAAAAACAAACAUAACUAAUAUUUAACUUAAGCUGUGGCUCAGCAGCAGGAUGCGUCCAACCACCGAUGGUCUGAACAUGUGACCAUCACUAAAUAGAUGAUUGACGUUUGAGAAGUAAAGAAUUAAACAUUAAAGUGGUGCAUUUUAAGCCUUUUAUUAUUAUUUUUUUAUCAUGCUUGGACGACCGCGGAAUAGUUUGUCCGUUUAAAGUUUGACCGUGGAGACCAGUGUGUCUGUGAUGACAGUCCAGGGUCAAAGGUCAGGUUGAAGCUGAGGCUGUAGGUGAGAUGUUAAAAUGUGCCUUUAUUCUGUCACCAUUUAUAGACUGGAUUUAAUCAGUGCCUGAAGACCGAGACAGUAACUGUUGGUUCAUCUCCAGUCCACCGUUAGAUGGUGCUGUUUCUCCUGUUCUCCAGCGUCACAUCUUAUGAUGUUGUUUCUUGUUUA